rnacentral:rRNA from 1 species
UGCCGGUGUCAAACCGGAGGAAGGUGGGGAUGACGUCAAGUCCUCAUGGCCUUUAUGUCUAGGGCUACACACGUACUACAAUGGCCGGUACAAAGGGCAGCCACUCAGCGAUGAGGCGCUAAUCCCAUAAAGCCGAUCUCAGUCCGGAUCGCAGUCUGCAACUCGACUGCGUGAAGUUGGAAUCGCUAGUAAUCGUAGAUCAGCAUGCUACGGUGAAUACGUUCCCGGGCCUU